AAUUUUAAAAAAUGUAUUGCAGGAGUGACUGCAGUGUCACAUGUGCAUCAAUAGGUGACAGAGAAGAGUGAGGCUAUGAUUAAGUUCAGAGUUUUCACCUAAGACCUUCUGAAUAAUUGAUAUCUUAACAUU